CCUACGGGACGCAGCAGUGAGGAAUAUUGGUCAAUGGGCGCGAGCCUGAACCAGCCAAGCCGCGUGAGGGAAGACGGUCCUAUGGAUUGUAAACCUCUUUUGUCGGGGAGCAAAAAGGCCUCGUGAGGCCACAAGUGAGAGUACCCGAAGAAAAAGCAUCGGCUAACUCCGUGCCAGCAGCCGCGGUAAUACGUAGGGAGCGAGCGUUAUCCGGAAUUAUUGGGCGUAAAGGGUGCGUAGAUGGCAUAGUAAGUCUUUUGUAAAAAUGCUGGGCUCAACCCAGUAGGGCAAAAGAUACUGCAAAG
rnacentral:rRNA from 1 species